AAGGAUCAUUACAGAGUUCAUGCCCUCACGGGUAGAUCUCCCACCCUUUGAGUACCAUACCUUUGUUGCUUUGGCGGGCCGCCUCGGCUACCGGCUCCCGCUGGUAAGUGCCCGCCAGAGGACCCCAAAACUCUUAUGUAUCAGUGUUGUCCGAGUACUAUAUCAAUAGUUAAAACUUUCAACAACGGAUCUCUUGGUUCUGGCAUCGAUGAAGAACGCAGCGAAAUGCGAUAAGUAAUGUGAAUUGCAGAAUUCAGUGAAUCAUCGAAUCUUUGAACGCACAUUGCACCCCUUGGUAUUCCGAGGGGCAUGCCCGUUCGAGCGUCAUUAUACCCCUCAAGCCUGGCUUGGUGUUGGGGCCUGCUGUGACCGGCAGCCCUUAAAAUCAGUGGCGGUGUCCUCGGGCUCUGAGCGUAGUAAUACUUCUCGCUACAGGGUCCGGUGGGUGUCUGCCAGCAACCCCUCACUACCUAUGGUUGACCUCGGAUCGGGUAGGGAUACCCGCUGAACUUAA
rnacentral:rRNA from 1 species